ensembl:lncRNA
AGGAAGCAGCAAGAGAGAUCUCUUCCCUCUUCUGCCUGGAACCCAUUGCUUCAUCUUGUGACACUGCUCAGAACCUCAGAGGGGACCGUGGGCACGUCACUUAGCCCACGGGAGCCUAGUUGCAUCCAUAAAGGCCUGCAUUGUUGUUAGUACCUGAGCACUGAGUGUGGAGUCAGGACACCUGAUUCCAGCCUUGCUUUGCACCAGCCAGCGAGGGGAGCCUGAGGAAGCCAGUUAUCCGCUCCCCUCCCCCGACCCCCAACCACCCUGAGGGUCAGUUUCUACCCUUUCAGGGCUAUUUGGAGAAUAAAACAGAAGAGCUCAGCAGGCACUUUGCAAACUGUGAAGGGAAACACCAAAGUGAAAGGAAAAGUGUGAAGAGCCAACUCAUUGGAAAAGACCCUGUUGCUGGGAAAGAUUGACAGCAGGAGGAGAAGGGGAUGACAGAGGAUGAGAUGUUAGGAGGGCAUCACCAACUUAAUGGACAUGAAUUUGAGCAAACUCCAGGAGAUGGUGAAGGACAGGGAAGCCUGGCGUGCUGCAGUUAAUGGGGUCACAAACAGUUGGACAUGACUUAGCAACUGAGCAACAAAAGGAAAAAUGCAAGGCAGCGUGAGAGUGCCAUCAGCAUGGCAAUUAAACUACUUACGAAUCAUCCUUAACGCACAGCGCAGGACAGGCGGAGUGGUCCAGGGCAAGGCUCGGAAGUCGUCUGCCCUGAACCAUGUGGAUUUUGUCGGAGAACCCGCAACUUAAAUGGCCAGGAUAUCAGAGGCCCAAUCCUUGGCCCUGUGUCCUCCACCUGAGCAGGGAAAGCCGUUCUGAAAGUGGGGAUGUCGGAAGGGCUUUCUGGGGGUCCUGUGGAGUGAGGACUGCAGGGGAGAGACAGAGAAGUUAUUUGGACAUAAGAGCAGCAAGCAGACCGGGACCCUGAAGGGCUGAAACAAAGAUGUAGAAAAUGGUGACGAAAACUUGAAAGGGACUAACAGAGAUAUUUUGAAGGGAAAGGCUCUUGGUUUUUUGUGUGUGUUUUUUUUUUUUUUUUUUUUAACCUCUGUGAAAUAACAGAAACACAACCAGAAUUAUUAAUAGUAGAGGGCUAUUUUUAAAGAAAGAAUACAAGGAGUUCAUUUCCAACUUCCAGAAGCUUCCAGCAACUGGUGACUUCCGUCAG